UAAACACUGUAUUUUCUCUGAAAAUACAGUGUUUACAUGAAAAGUCCUGCAGGGAUCUAUUGUACUCACCUCAACAACUCCAUUAAGAUGAAGUUGUUCGGGUGACUAUAGUGUCCCUUUAGUAUAAAUUUAAGAGAAAUGCAUCUCAUAAAAAGGUUAACACAAGGUAAAGGUAAUUUUCAAGGUUUAAUUCAAUUUGGCUAAUUCCAGUUCCCCUUUACUGUAAUAUCUACAUAUACUCAGUCGCAGGAUACUAUAUGAGCACUGUGCUCUUAGCCCAUCAUUAAAG